AGGGUUCGAUUAUGGCUCAGGACGAACGCUGGCGGUGCGCCUUAUGCAUGCAAGUCGAGCGAAGCUUUUCAGUAGUUUACUACAGAAAAUGACUGAGCGGCGAACGGGUGAGUAACGCGUGAGCAAUCUACCUUAGUUACAGGGAUAGCCCGAGGAAACUCGGAUUAAUACCUGAUAUUCUUUAUAUUUCGCAUGAAAUUAAAAGGAAAGGUCAGCCGAACUAAGAUGAGCUCGCGUUCUAUCAGCUAGUUGGUGAGGUAAAAGCUCACCAAGGCUACGACGGAUAGCUGGUCUGAGAGGACGAUCAGCCACACUGGGACUGAGACACGGCCCAGACUCCUACGGGAGGCUGCAGCAGGGAAUAUUGCGCAAUGAGCGAAAGCUUGACGCAGCGACACCGCGUGUGGGAUGACGGAUCUAGGUUUGUAAACCACUUUCAGGAGGGAAGAAAAUGACGGUACCUCCACAAGAAGCCCCGGCCAACUACGUGCCAGCAGCCGCGGUAAUAC
rnacentral:rRNA from 1 species